rnacentral:lncRNA from 1 species
AAUGGUAUAUGCCUUCUCUCAAAGUAUGUGGUAUUUUUGGUAUGAGGCAUAGUGAUAUUUCCUUCUCUCUCACCCUACUCUAAUAAGGUUUUGAUAUCUGGAGCUCAUAGGUGGGAGACAGAUAAUACAUACUUACAAGACAUUUAUUGCAUAGUCAAACCAUGGAUCCAGAGAAACAAGUCAAUAAGUCAAAUCAAGAUGUGCAUGUGUGGCCAAUGAAUGGUGUAUGGUGAUGAUGGUGACAACAAUGGUGAAAGUCUAAUUCUACUUUUGCUCUUUUUAGGGGAUACAUACCUCUCUUGCACUUUGAAGCUUUUUUGAGGAGAAUGAGAUGCUCUACAUUUUCUUU